AAAAAAGUACAACUUUGAGCGGUGGAUCACUCGGCUCGUGCGUCGAUGAAGAGCGCAGCCAGCUGCGUGAAUUAAUGUGAAUUGCAGAACACAUUGAACAUCGACACCUUGAACGCACAUGGCG
rnacentral:rRNA from 1 species